rnacentral:rRNA from 1 species
UACGUAGGUGGCAAGCGUUACCCGGAAUUAUUGGGCGUAAAGCGCGCGCAGGCGGUUUCUUAAGUCUGAUGUGAAAGCCCACGGCUCAACCGUGGAGGGUCAUUGGAAACUGGGGAACUUGAGUGCAGAAGAGAAAAGCGGAAUUCCACGUGUAGCGGUGAAAUGCGUAGAGAUGUGGAGGAACACCAGUGGCGAAGGCGGCUCACUGGUCCAUUACUGACGCUGAGGUGCGAAAGCGUGGGGAGCAAACAGG